UAACGCGUGAGGAACCUGCCUCAAAGAGGGGGACAACAGUUGGAAACGACUGCUAAUACCGCAUAAGCCCACGGCUCGGCAUCGAGCAGAGGGAAAAGGAGCAAUCCGCUUUGAGAUGGCCUCGCGUCCGAUUAGCUAGUUGGUGAGGUAACGGCCCACCAAGGCAACGAUCGGUAGCCGGACUGAGAGGUUGAACGGCCACAUUGGGACUGAGACACGGCCCAGACUCCUACGGGAGGCAGCAGUGGGGAAUAUUGCACAAUGGGGGAAACCCUGAUGCAGCGACGCCGCGUGGAGGAAGAAGGUCUUCGGAUUGUAAACUCCUGUUGUUGAGGAAGAUAAUGACGGUACUCAACAAGGAAGUGACGGCUAACUACGUGCCAGCAGCCGCGGUAAAACGUAGGUCACAAGCGUUGUCCGGAAUUACUGGGUGUAAAGGGAGCGCAGGCGGGAGAACAAGUUGGAAGUGAAAUCCAUGGGCUCAACCCAUGAACUGCUUUCAAAACUGUUUUUCUUGAGUAGUGCAGAGGUAGGCGGAAUUCCCGGUGUAGCGGUGGAAUGCGUAGAUAUCGGGAGGAACACCAGUGGCGAAGGCGGCCUACUGGGCACCAACUGACGCUGAGGCUCGAAAGUGUGGGUAGCAAACAGGAUUAGAUACCCUGGUAGUCCACACCGUAAACGAUGAUUACUAGGUGU
rnacentral:rRNA from 1 species